rnacentral:rRNA from 1 species
GAUGAACGCUGGCGGCGUGCCUAAUACAUGCAAGUCGAGCGAACGGAUGAGAAGCUUGCUUCUCUGAUGUUAGCGGCGGACGGGUGAGUAACACGUGGAUAACCUACCUAUAAGACUGGGAUAACUUCGGGAAACCGGAGCUAAUACCGGAUAAUAUUUUGAACCGCAUGGUUCAAAAGUGAAAGACGGUCUUGCUGUCACUUAUAGAUGGAUCCGCGCUGCAUUAGCUAGUUGGUAAGGUAACGGCUUACCAAGGCAACGAUGCAUAGCCGACCUGAGAGGGUGAUCGGCCACACUGGAACGGAGACAAGGUCCAGCGUCCUACGGGAGGCAGCAGUAGGGAAUCUUCCGCAAUGGGCGAAAGCCUGACGGAGCAACGCCGCGUGAGUGAUGAAGGUCUUCGGAUCGUAAAACUCUGUGAUUAGGGAAGAACAUAUGUGUAAGUAACUGUGCACAUCUUGACGGUACCUAAUAAGAAAGCCACGGCUAACUACGUG